rnacentral:lncRNA from 1 species
AUGGGCGAGUGCAAGGAUUACAGAUGAUAGCUUUUAGUGAAGGGCAAAAUCUUUUAAAUCUUUUAUGGCUGAAAUUUCAAGGCAAAGUCAAAACUAGAUUAGAAGAUAAUCAAUACUCUGAGACUUACUAGGAGGUUCAGAACAUUUUUACUCCAAAUGCCUAUCUUAAGAAAUGGUUUUGGAAAACAGCCUCAAAUAGAAUCAGUAAAAGGAGCUUUUUCAAGGUGAUAAAAGAAAAAUGUAUUUUAAAAUAUACAAAAUGAGUAUAAUAAACAUCUUAUUAGUCCAGAAAAAUGUAGCCAAAAUGGUUAUCUGUAUGUAAUAAUGGCAGUUCUGAUGUGCACAUGUCCAAAGCUUCUCUUGAGUAAAUUUGCCUUUUACCAGCUUUUCUCAUACAUAUUAGAUUCAAGAUGUUAGAAGAUACAUAAAGCUAACUGUUUUCUUCUAGUCUAUGGGGCUUCAUGAUGUAUUCUCUAGGCUAUGGCUGGACAAAAUUGGCAAGUGUUAGUCUUAUAAUUGAGCCUUUAAGAGAUUUUUGCAAGAAGUGUUUCAAAUUAAGUCUUCUAUAUGCAACUUAAUUUGAGGUUGCCAUCCAAAAAUUAAUUGUGAGUGAAUCUAUUGUUAUAUCAAAAGUGUUAUGCAAUACCCUGUUUGUUGAAUAACAUGUAUGGAGCCUCUACCAGAUGAUACAACAGUCUUUUGUGUAAUGCCUCCUAAAGCUUCCUCCAACUCACUAGACAUUUCUCCUCUCUCCUUCAAUUUUCUGCACCAUACCCGCCCAGUCUCUCAGGCCAUGAUGUUGCAUCAUAUCUAAAUGAUAAAAUCUAAUUAUUCUUAUUUUCUACAAGACAUACAAACCUUCUUGCAUCUAUACCUAUCCAAUUUCAUUCUCUAUUAUUAAGAAAACAUCUUUCAUCUCUCAAAGGUAUGAUUCCCCACCUGCCCUAGCCUUCGCACAGGCUUUGCAUCCCUCUCUUAAUUGUGCCAAACUCUAACAUCUGUCUUAUCGUUGCCAUUAGCAACACACGCAAGUAUCUUUUCUAUUCAAGAAGAGUCUCAUAUUCCCCUCCAGAUAUCACCUUUUUUUUUUUUUUUUUUGCUAUUCCCCUUUACUUUAUAACUUUUCAAGAAUCGUUUAUUCCUGCUGUCUCCAUUUUCUCACAUCACAUCUACCUCUCUUUCCACUCCAGCUUGGGCUACAUCUUUUCUUCCUACCCGCCUGUGAAGCUAUUUGUUCCAAGGUUGCCAAUCAUAUCUCUGCUGUUAAAAUUCAUGUGGUGAAAUCCUAACCCCCUACUAAGAGGUAGAACAUUUGGAAAGUGGUCAUACUUUUGUAACAAAAUUAAAGCCCUUACAAAGUGGCCUGAGAAAGAUUCCUCACCCUUUUUA